rnacentral:rRNA from 1 species
CAGUAGCCGCGGGAAUACGGAGGGAGCUAGCGUUGUUCGGAAUCACUGGGCGUAAAGCGCACGUAGGCGGCUAUUCAAGUCAGGGGUGAAAGCCCGGGGCUCAACCCCGGAACUGCCUUUGAAACUAGAUAGCUUGAAUCUUGGAGAGGCGAGUGGAAUUCCGAGUGUAGAGGUGAAAUUCGUAGAUAUUCGGAAGAACACCAGUGGCGAAGGCGACUCGCUGGACAAGUAUUGACGCUGAGGUGCGAAAGCAUGGGGAGCAAACAGGAUUAGAUACCCGUGUAGUCCCUGUCUCUUAUAC